AUGGCGUCUCAAAUCUCCCCGAUCGGCGGUGAGUACAAGGUUAGAACCAUCACCGACGAUGAGUUCGACGUCAUCUACACCCGUUCUUCCGCGACGGUGAAAGGAUGCCUUUCUCGCUUCAGACGCAUGUUCGAAGACUCAUAUGAUGAGUGGGUCCCUGGGCUAGAUGUUGAGUACACCACAGUCCUGGGACGAGAGAAGGAUCUAAAGGACGAAGAGAGGAAGAAGCCCGCCGUGAUCCAAGUUUGCGUGCAUGACUUAUGCUUGGUCUACCACAUAUGCCAUGCCGACGUUGAGUGCCAGGAUUUUAAGGACUUCCUCGAGAGCAACCUAGUCAAAUUCGUUACUGUAGACUUUGGUAACGACAAAGAAGUCCUGCGUCGGAUAGGCCUCGUUGUAGGCAACACCUUCGACCUCUAG
rnacentral:rRNA from 1 species